UUAUUUUCUUUGUAUAUCAGGUAAGAGCAGCAGUGGAGGGAGGGGUAUUUUCUUUGUAUAUCAGGUAAGAGCAGCAGUGGAGGGAGGGUAUUUUCUUUGUAUAUCAGGUAAGAGCAGCAGUGGAGCGGGGAGGGUAUUUUCUUUGUAUAUCAGGUAAGAGCAGCAGUGGAGGGAGGGUAUUUUCUUUGUAUAUCAGGUAAGAGCAGCAGUGGAGGGAGGGUAUUUUCUUUGUAUAUCAGGUAAGAGCAGCAG